UCGACCUCAGAUCAGACGAGAUGACCCGCUGAAUUU
rnacentral:rRNA from 9 species